rnacentral:tRNA from 1 species
ACCGCGAUAGCUCAGUUGGUAGAGCAUCUGCUCGGUAGGCGGAGUGUCGCUGGUUCGAUUCCGGCUCGCGGCG